UUGACUUACUUUCAGCUUUACCAUUUCACACAAAACAUGAAAUGGUGCAUCAUGAAGUGGUGCAUUAAAAGACUCCUUAUUAUUUUGCUGUGUUACUCAGCAUACAGAGUAAAAGCAAAUAAAGUCCAUCAACGUGAAUCUUGGGUCAUCGGCUGUAAAGGAGAGACAUUGACCCUGGCCUGUGAAUAUGAGACUUCAGAUGCAAAUCCGUAUGUGUUCUGGUAUAAACAACAGGCAUAUAACUUUCCCAGAUACCUGUUGAGAAGGGAGAGAUAUGGAUCUGCUGAUAAUGGCACUGAGUUCAAUGAGAGAUUUCACUCUACACUAAACUUCACCUCCAGCUCAGUUCCUCUGAGCAUCCAGGAUCUGCAAGUGUCUGACUCUGCUGUGUACUACUGUGCUCUGAGGCCCACAGUGACAGGAGUCUAA